rnacentral:rRNA from 1 species
CUUAACACAUGCAAGUCGAACGAUGAAGCCUAGCUUGCUAGGUGGAUUAGUGGCGAACGGGUGAGUAAUACGUGAGUAACCUACCUUUAACUCUGGGAUAAGCCUGGGAAACUGGGUCUAAUACCGGAUACGACCAAUCUCCGCAUGGGGUGUUGGUGGAAAGCGUUAUGUAGUGGUUAUAGAUGGGCUCACGGCCUAUCAGCUUGUUGGUGAGGUAACGGCUCACCAAGGCGACGACGGGUAGCCGGCCUGAGAGGGUGACCGGCCACACUGGGACUGAGACACGGCCCAGACUCCUACGGGAGGCAGCAGUAGGGAAUAUUGCACAAUGGGCGCAAGCCUGAUGCAGCGACGCCGCGUGAGGGAUGACGGCCUUCGGGUUGUAAACCUCUGUUAGCAGGGAAGAAGAGAGAUUGACGGUACCUGCAGAGAAAGCGCCGGCUAACUACGUGCCAGCAGCCGCGGUAAUACGUAGGGCGCGAGCGUUGUCCGGAAUUAUUGGGCGUAAAGAGCUUGUAGGCGGUUUGUCGCGUCUGCUGUGAAAGACCGGAGCUUAACUCCGUGUAUUGCAGUGGGUACGGGCAGACUAGAGUGCAGUAGGGGAGACUGGAAUUCCUGGUGUAGCGGUGGAAUGCGCAGAUAUCAGGAGGAACACCGAUGGCGAAGGCAGGUCUCUGGGCUGUAACUGACGCUGAGAAGCGAAAGCAUGGGGAGCGAACAGGAUUAGAUACCCUGGUAGUCCAUGCCGUAAACGUUGGGCACUAGGUGUGGGGGACAUUCCACGUUUUCCGCGCCGUAGCUAACGCAUCAAGUGCCCCGCCUGGGGAGUACGGCCGCA